rnacentral:lncRNA from 1 species
GCCUACGGGUGGCCGGGCGGGAUGUAACCGGCUGCUGAGCUGGCAGUUCUGUGUCGCUAGGCUUCUGCCCGGCCGCCGCCGCACAUAAGCUGCGAGGAGGAGCUUUACGACUUCCCGGUCUUCGGGGCCGGGCGCAGCAAGGGCCAGACUCUGCGCUAGCAGGCGCUGCGCGCCAACCGGCCGGCACCUGUCGCAGAAGGUGCAACCGAUCGCACUGUCGCGCAGAAGCUCCUCAAUGGCCAGCGCCAGCUGCAGCCCCGGCCGCCCACUCGCCUCAUCUGAGCCUGGGCGAAUCUGGAUUGGGAAAGUUGAUAUUAAUCAACUCAUUAUUCCUCACAGAUUUGUAUUCUCCAGAGUAUCCAGGUCCUUCUCAGAGAAUUAAAAAGCCUGUACAGGUCUACAUAUUGGUAUUUUUAAUUGAUGAUAAGCUGGAAUAAUAUUAAUACACACAAAGCACGUGUUGUAACUUUCAUUAUGCUUCCCUAGAGGUAAGAUGCAAAUUUGCCCUUAGCCAGUGUAAGAUGGUAAAUAUGACUUCAUAAAAUCAAAAAAACAGAGGAAGUACAGUUAAUCGAAAGAAUUAUCUUGACUAGAACUUUCCAAAUUUGUCCUAAGGAUUCUCCUAGAGAUGACACUGUGACAUAGUAACCAAUUCCCCUGGAGUUGUGCUAUGUAGUAUGAUAGUCAUUUGCCACAUGUUUAAAUCAAUUAAAAUUAAUUAAAUUAAAAUGCAAUUUCUCAUUUGCUCCAGAUACAUUUCAAGUGCUCAACAGCCACAUGUGGCAAGUGGCUGCCAUUUUGUGCAGCACAUAUAUGAAGAUUUUCAUCAUUGUAGAAAAUUGCAUUGGACAGUGUAGAGAAAACAUGAUUCAUAGAAAAACUAUUGUUAUUUAAAUAGUGUUCUAUAUUAGUCAGUGGGAUAAUACCAUAUCAUAGUUGAAUGGCAAUAGCAAUUCUGUAAAACUCCCAUGCUAUAUGUGAUCUAAUUUACUGCUUCUCAGUCUUUGCUACGCAUUCCAAUCCUGGGUAUCCUGUUAAAUUUAUUUCUUCUAGUAGUUCUGAGAUGGGCUGCCUUUCUACAUUUCUAACAAGAUCCCAGGUGAUGCUGAUGCCGCUGGAUGGUAGAUCACACUUUAUAAAGCAAGGGGCUAGACUCUAGAUAUGCACUUUUUAUUAAAUAGUACAGCAGCCUGUAGCCACAUGUGGCUAUUAAUCUUUGAAAUGUGGGUAGUCUGAAUUGUGAUGUUCUGCAAAUAUAAAAUAUGCCACAGAUUUCUAAGACUGAGCAUGGAAAAGAAAAUCUCCGUAAUUUUUUAUAUUGAUUGUAUACUGCAGUGAUAAUAUUUUGGAUGUAUCGGGUUAAAUAAAAUUGACUGAUUUCACCUUUUUCCUAUUUUAAAAGUGGCUACUAAGAAAAUUUUAAAUUACUUACAUGACCGACAUGGUAUUUUUAUUUGGCAGCGCUGCUCUAAGCUGUUGAUGAAAAAUAUUGUUGGUGAGCUCUGCUUAGGUAAUAUGUAGGACACGAGCAGAGAGGAGGCACGUGAACAGUUCUGGCUGAAGUAGGCUUCAUUGAGGCCGUGAUGCUUUUAGCUGGAUUUGAAGAAGUGGUAGUGAGCAUCCCAGUGCACAGGAUAGGAGGACAGUCUAUAUAUUCUGAGCAGUAACUCAUAUAUAUCAUACUGCAAGACCCCAAAGGAGUAAUUUUUUGAAGUAAAUAUCUUAUUUCUCCUUUUUAAUGUUUCUAUUUUGGGAAUUUUUUUUUUUUUAGUAACCUUCAUAGGGCUUGAGAUUUAAAAUUACCUGCAAAAUUCUACUCUAAAAACUUGAUCCUACAUGCUUAUUUAUUUUGUGAUAAAUAUUGGAAAUUUUAAACCUAAGCAAGAAAAUGAACUUUGAACUUUCUUAAUUUGGGUAUCUAUUAUGAAUACCUUCACUUAAGUAUUUAUGAAUUUAGAUAUGAAAGGUAAAACUAACCACUAUCCAAAUUAAUAUACAGUUCAUUUCCAGAACCCUAGUUUCUUCCAUGUGCUCACUCGCAUUCAGUAUUACAACCCCCAAAGAUAAACACCUUACUGACUGCCUUCUCCAUAAAUUUGCCUGUUCUUGAACGUUAUAUACGUAUACUUUUUUGUAUCUGUUUUCUUUCAGUGAAGAUUAUGUCUGUAUUAUUUACUCAUGUUGGGUGUAGUUGUUUUUUUCAUCGUCGUAUAAUACUCCAUUGUGUGAAUGUAUAAAGUAUAUCCUUUAUUAUUUAUUGUAGAUAAGCCUUUGGGUUUUCAGUUUUUUACUAACGGGAACAUUCUUGUGCAUGUCUUAGUAGACUUAGGCACUCAUUGCUGUUGUGUGUGCAUAAAGAUAUAAAGGUAUUUGAGUUUAUUUUAUUUGAUUUCUAGUGAGGUUGAACAUGUCUUGUACUCAAUAACUGUUCAGAUUUCAUUAAAGUCUUUUGGUAAUCUUAAUAUUUUCUGUCAUUUUCUUGCUGAUUUAUAGGAGUUUGAAAAAUCUAAUAAUCCCCUACAUUUUAGAUAUUGCAGACAUUUUCUCCCCAGGUGAGCAUCUGUUAAAGAUGUGACAUGCCCUCAAUUUAUUUUAGAAUUCUUACAUUGGCUUAGCUUCAAAAUAAAUUGCCUAAACCCAUUUUACCUUCCUUUAAAGUAACACUUCAAAAAUAUCCUCUUCUGUUGUGAAUAUCUUCCCGGAAACUCUCUUUAUCUUGAAAACAAAGGGGUAAUGGAGGUACUAGAGAAUAUCUCUAGUAGGAUUUUUAAGACAGGCCUGUGCACCACUGUUAAAUAUCUUUUCUGUACCAAAAAGAAGACCUGUAACAUUUGAGAACCAGAUUGAUCCUUAGUAGAAUCCUGUAGAAGUCCUCUUUCCUGAUUGAACCAUAGAGGUGUAUUCCUUUAUAUACUGAAAACUAGCUGAAGAUAAUCUAAACUCUUGUGCCCAGUUAGGAAAGAACAUGCCAUAUUAUGGACAGGGUCAGAGUCAUUCAAGAAGCCUGAAUAUAGUUAGAAAAUGAGAAUGUAAUCUUUUUAAUAGUUGGCUGGCUCUUUACCAAGCCCAGUAGUCUUGAAGAUAUAGGGGAAAUAGUGUAAACGGUUGUCAAGAUGAAUCUAAAAUGGAAAUUAAUCAGUUCCCUAGAAUAGAUUGAGAAAUUAGCUUUAGGAAAAAGAUAAAUUUCACACACACUGUACCAUGGAAGGUACAGUGCUGAUUCAGACAGACUGGGAAUGGUCUCAUUUUUAAGUGGUGAUGUGAGGUACUUCACUGAGCAUUGUGACAGGCACGGGCUUGGGAAGAGCCUAUUAGGAAAUGGGAGAGGCAUGAGACUAAGGAGCACAUAAGAGUAAUAUUAGCAGAGAAAUUCUUUUUGAGGUUGAAGGUCAUGAAUUUUAUGGUAUAGGAAUAGAAAGAGGGGUUAAUCCAGAAUGGGAUUUGAGUUGGAAAGGGAAAGAAAUAAAGGUUUUGGGAAGGAGGUUGCUAAUAGAAAAUGAGAGGGGCAAGGGAUUUGAGGUCUCAGUAAGGAGACAGGGAUAUGAGGAGUGGAGAGGUUCAGAAUAGAAAGCCAAAUUAGAGUUUUGGGAUCAACUUUCUUCUCAGUAAAGUAGUCCUGGGUCUUCGUGAGAAGGAAGUAUUCUUCAGGCAUAACUGUUCUACUAUUGGUUACUUCCUCUUUCAUUGUCUUGUGGAACACGAUGAAACAUUUAAGAUGAUAUUCAUCUUUUGAGCCAAUAAAUAAGGGAAAUAGAUAGUUUUUGUGUUUGAGCUAAGUGGAGUAUCUCAGGCCAUUCCAAUGUCUUCAGAGUUUUGGCUGUAAUGCUACCUCUUGAGCAAGUGUAGGUAGAGGUAAGCUCUUGACAGAAAAUUUUAACCCUCUCUUCAAAAUGUUAUAUGCUUAAUUAAAUAACUUCUUAAUUUACCUUAAUAAAUGGCGUAUAAACAUUAAGUUAGAAAAGGUUAGUGUAUAUGAAGCUGUAUAAUCAACAUUGUUUGACUUUUUUUCCUCAGAUUGUAAAACUGAAAACUCAGUAUACUAAUACUCUUGUAUACUGUAUACACUCAGUAUUAGAAAAUGAGUACCUUUGAUUUCUGGAAUCUCGGAUGCCAAAAGAGGUCUCAAUAGAUGAAUUAUACAUAGAUGAUUCAUAGACGAUAGUUUUAGUUUUAUUUAUUUUUCAGGGAAAAACAUUUGACAAUGUUCUUGAUUCAUUUUUUUGGUAUUAAAUUAUGCAGCUAAUCUUAGAGAACCCUGAGUGAUGCCAUAAAAGAUGUUGAUGUGGCCUGCUUAAGGAAAGUGCACGGGAAAGUGGCCAUUUGGAAUAGAUUUGUUAAGAAAAGUUUGAAAUUCUUGGACUCGAACUAAUUUGUUUUCCAUGGAUCCCAUGAGGAUACUUGUAAAAGCAGAUGAUAGGGUCCAGUUGGAUCCUGUGAAUGGCACUAGUUUGCAGUUAUGUUUUCUGGAUCUCUUCCAUAUGUCGCUGACUUCUUUGUAUUUGACCAUGUAUGGACAUACAGAAUUUCAUAGGCCAGAGAAGAAAAGAAGCUUUAUAAACAUUCCUUAUGUGUGUAAAAUACAAAUCUUCAUUUGUCUUAGCAAGUCAAUAAGUAAUUAAGUUGUUGAACUGAUUUUUUUUUUAAACAGGGAAAUAUCUUAAAAUUUAAGCUGUUAGGUUAAAAUGUGUGUUUGGUAUACAGCAUAUUACUGAAGGUAGAAUGGGCUUCAUUUGGUAAUAAAGGAACCAGAAAUAUUUUUAAGUAAAAUUGGGAGAUGAUUCAUGUAGAUUAACUAUAUUUUUGUAUCACUUUCUAGAAUACAGUACUAUGUUGUUUAAAAGAGUAAGUAGGUAAAGGAGUGGUAUAAUUACUUUGGAUAUUUCUGCGUCAGCCACAGUUACCAUGAAUAAAUGAUCUGUCUUUAUAAAGGAGAUGGAAGUGAAUUCAAGAUAUUGAGAUGUUAGAUUUGACUGGGUUGUCCUUUGACUAGAAGAUCACCAGAUAAAGAAAAUGUAAACUUCCUAAACCAGAUAAGAUGAUAUUGUUAAAAAAUUUUUUUGGCCCAGCACUUUGGGAGGCUGAAAUGGGAAGAUUGCUUGAACCCAGGAGUUUGAAGCUGCAGUAAGCUAUGAUCUACCAUGCACUCCAGCCUGGGCAACAGAGUGAGACCCUGACUAAAAAAAAAAAUUUUUUUUCCUUUGGUUCUCAUGAUUUCACACUGAUGAAUCUGAUUGUUUUCUCUGAGUCAUUUUGCCUCUCUCAUGUUAUUAGGGUAACCUGAUAAUAGACAUGUUAUCUGAGUUAUGUGGUAUGUAACAGUGAUCUUCUAAAUGAUGUGCAUCCAUCACUGAUACUGAGGAUGAUCAGAAACUAUUACAACUCUUAUUUAUUGAUCUUUACUUUUAAUCUACAGAUAAAUGAUAAUACAUAUUAAUACUUAAUAUUCAGAUUGCCAAUAGUAUAUAUUUGGUGGGUAAAUAUCUUUUGGAUCUGCAAAAUUUUCACUGAUAGUUUGUAUCAGGAUCAAAGCAGUUUGAAGAACAUUAAUCUAAAAGAUAAGACUUUGGCAUCUCAUUUCUCUAAAAGAUAAGUCAUGCAUGUACACACUCAGGCAAUUUUUUUCAGUUUUAUAAGUUUUAUUCUUGAUAAUAAAAUUCUUUUAACAGAAAACUCUUGAUUGCUAUAGACCUCUGCUGUGUAUUCAGUAGUCACUAGCCACAUGUGGCUAUUUAAGUUAAUUCAAAUUAAAUAAAAUUAAAUAUCAGUUCCUUAUUUGCACUAGUCAGAUUUUAAGGAGUAAGUAGCCACAUGGGCAAGUGGCUACCAUAUUGGACAGUGUGGAUACACAACAAUUCCAUCAUCUCAGAAAGUGUUAUUGGAUAGUGUGGCUACAGACUUUUCUUGCUCAGCAAUCUUAGUCUCCGCAUGUUAGUCUCUUCAUGCAUUAGGUAGCAUCUAUAAAACAUGCCAAAAGGAAAUAGGCUAUCUCUAAAAGUGUCCCAAACUUUUUGUCUUGUAAAUUAGCUUAUCAGCAUACUUGGAGCCUCUUGCCUUAAAAAGGACUUGAUAUAAAUGUGUAUCAGGAGAAAGCCUAUCUUAUGAAGGAAUUAUUCCCUUUUUAUUUGAAUCCAUGUUUGCUUUAUCUUCGGCUCCUGAAAACUGAUACUUUGCAUUUAACAGCAGCAUAUGCCCAGGAUGAAUGAUAAUACAUCUCCUGAUACAGAGCUUGAGGUUACAGAAUAUCUUAAAUUGUUCCAGGAACUGUUGUUAUCAUUUAAGUCCAAUAAUCAGUAAGAUUUCACCCUACCAGAAUACACUUUUUUUUAUUAACUGUCUGGACCUUUGCUGAUUACAUUGUCCGGAAUGUGGAGUAUCGCAUUUGAGAAGAGGAUUGGAUCCUAGCCAUAACAUAAAUAUAAGGGUAAUUACAUCCAUGCUGAGAAAGAUUUAGGAAUGAUAGUAAGUUCAUUUGAGUGAGUGGUUUGGGCCAAACUUGAUAGAGAAUAGUCCAGGAAGACAUUUACUAUAAACAGUAGAUUAAAUGUUCUUGCCUGGUUAAUUACAUUUGAACUCUGUUAAUGACUGAAUCACUCAAACUGCUUAAUUGUAUUAUUAGAUGCACAUUUAAGUUAUGUAUUACAUGUCUUUAGUGGUGAUCAGAAUUUUAUCAGUUCCUCUGUCUUUCUUUAUACCAAGUAUGACUCAUAAACCCAGUAUUAAUUUGCCAAGAGAUUGGCAUACUAUUUGUAUAUAUGCUUUUCUUUCAAAUAAUCUGGAUUCCCAAUGCCCACAAUCAUUGAUCCUAAAGAAAAUGUGAGAGUAGGUAGAUAAACUCAAACAUCCCUACCAUCACCCCUGGUAGGAAAUCACUGGUGUAAUGUAUGAUAUUAACAUCUGCACCAAUUACUCUUAUAGGUGGAACAAUCCAAAGUUUUAAUCAGAGAAGGUGGUGUUCAGUUGCUGCUUACAAUAGUUGAUACCCCAGUAUUUGGAGAUGCAGUGGAUAACAGUAAUUGCUGGCAGCCUGCUAUCAAUUACAUUGAUAGUAAAUUUGAGGACUACCUAAAUGCAGAAUCGCAAGUGAACAGAUGUCAGAUGCCUGGUAACAGGGUGCAGUGUUGUUUAUACUUCAUUGCUCCUUCAGGACAUGGACCAUUACAUAACUGAAGACUCCCACCUUCAGGCAGGUUUGGGUAGUACACGUUUGUAACUACCUGGCAUUGCCUUUUGUUGAAGUAAUUUCAGUUUUUAUUAGUAGUAGUAGUAGUAUACUUUAAGUUCUACAGUAUAUGUUCACAAUGUGCAGGUUUGUUACAUAUGUAUACAUGUGCCAUGUUUGUUUGCUGCACCCAUUAACUGGUCAUUUACAUUAGGUAUUUCUCCUAAUACUAUCCCUCCCCCAUCCUCCAUGCCACGACAGGCCCUAGUGUAUGAUAUUUCCCGCCCUGUGUCCAAGUGUUCUCAUUGUUCAAUUCCUACCUAUGAGUGAGAAAUACCUAUGCGGUGUUUGGGUUUCUGUCCUUGUGAUAGUUUGCUCAGAAUGAUGGUUAACAGCUUCAUCCAUGUCCCUGCAAAGGACAUGAACUCAUCCUUUUUUAUGGCUGCAUAGUAUUCCACAGUGUAUAUGUGCCACAUUUUCUUAAUCCAGUCUAUCAUUUUAUGGUGUUCUCAGUUUAUAUAUUUAAAUCACUAAACUGACUCUUUGACUUAAAAGGCUCAAAAAAAGUCAUCUCAAAAAUACAACACACUUUAUAACCUUUUAUAAGUAUUUGUGUAGCUUCUUGAAUUUAUAUUUUUAAAUCAUUCUCAUUUAACUUGUCAGGGCCUUUUCCUGAAAGCCAGGAGAGUGAAAUCUUAACCUGCAGUUAAGUCAAUAAAAUUUGUCAGCUUAUAACCAAUUUUAUUAUUUUAGAUUUUCUGGACUCUCUCCAACUACAGUAAUUCUCAUGAAAUCACAUUCCUGCCAUCCCCUUGGGGAAAAUUUUAUUUCUUAAAAUUGCAUGGGAAAUGAGAGCUUUUUUAAAAGAAAAAAAGUUUUAUAUUCAAAUGAUAUGUAGUGGCUUUGUGCCAUUUCUUAUUCAUCACAAGGGGUAAGAUGUUUAAAAUUGCUAUAUCUUAUAUAUAAAAAUGUACCUUUGAAUAAUUUCUCAGUUUAACUAUUUUUAGAAAUGGAGCAAAGUUUUGCCCAUUGGUACAUGAUAUUGUGGAUUAAGUGAAAGAAUAUGAGGCUGGGUGCGGUGGCUCACGCCUGUAAUCCCAGCACUUUGAGAGGCUGAGGCAGGUGGAUCACCUGAGGUCGAGAGUUCGAGACCAGCCUGACCAACAUGGAGCAACCCCGUGUCUACUAAAAAUACAAAAUUAGCUGGCCGUGGUGGCGCAUGCCUGUAAUCCCAGCGACUAGGGAGGCUGAGUCAGGACAGUUGCUUGAACCUGGGAGAUGGAGUUUGCGGUGAACCGAGAUCACACCAUUGCACUCCAGCCUGGGCAAUGAGAGUGAAACUCCAUCUCAAAAAAAAAAAAAAAGAAUAUGACACAGAAUUUUAUGUAUAGAGUUCCAGGUACCCUGCUCACUACAGACUGAAAUUCUGUGCAGUCUAAUAAAUGAAUCAGAGCCUUUCCAUCUUGUCUGGGUAGUCCCUAGGUUCCCUUUUUAGAGGGUUUUGUUUUUAGAGUGAUUAUAAAUUCAUCCAACAGUGCACUUUCAGUGCCUCCUACCUCCCUCUACCAAGUAUGAACUGCAUGCAUGGCUGAUAUAUGAUUUUGGCUAUUAUCGCUUCAUGUGCAUUGUUCACUAUUUUGUAACUGUUAUUAAAGUAAAAUACUGACUUGGAACAUGAAUUUUAAAAUGGUGUUUUAUCCUUCUAGUAUUGAUUCCCACUUUUAGAAAAAUUGGUGUCAUUCAGUGAGUUUUAUAUAGAAGGAUUUUUUCCCUUAGAAAUACAUACAUACAUACAUACAAAAAAAAUUUGUUAUUUUCCCUGUAGUUGUUUAUUAUGCUGUAGAAUUUGAGGCUAAAUAGUCUUUUCUCUCUGCUGUGGGUUUAUCUUCUAGAAAUGAUAAAGGAUUUUCUAUUGCUUAAAAACAAGAUUUAAAAACUAAAUUUGUUGACGAAAAGACUAGCCAAUAUAAAUCUAAAUGGACAGAGGGAAAAAAUUCAACCAGAAUGUAAUACACAUGUGAACUAAAUGUUUUCUGUUGCUGACGUUUUGUAGGCUUCUGAAAUUUAAUGAGACUUUUACAAGGUUUACCUUUUUUCCUAGAGUUUAAUUUUUAAACUGACUUAAAUGUUUUUUGACACUUUGGUUAUAUUUAAGAAGUUGACUUCUCUAAUUUCCUUGUCAUGUUUAUUUUUAAAUAUCUUUCUCUUUAAAAGUUGGGAUACUAUAAUAAAUAUUCAGCAAGUAUUUUGUGUUUAAAUAUAAAAUCUUGUUAUUUGGAUUUUAAUACUUUAUAUAUAGUAUUUAUAUAUAAAUAUAAUAUAAACAAAACUAAAGACUCUAUGAAAGAAUCAAAUGGAUUUUCUAUAACUGAAAAUUUCAAUGACUAAAAUUAAGAUAUUACCAGAUAGGUUUAACAGCAAAUUCCAUAAAGUUGGUAAGAAAACAAGAAUACUCAAAAAAUGGAAAGAAGUAGAAAAUAAAAGCACUGAGAAGCAUAGAAUGCAAAUUUAGAAAAGAGCUUAAGAGACAUAUCAGACAUGGUAAAAGGUUUAACACACAUAUAAUCAAAUUUUCCUAGCUCUGUUCACGGAAAGGGCCUGGGAGCUGCAACACCUCAACAGCAACGAGCACACCUGCUACCUAGAACUUGGUUUCUAAAAACCAUCCUCCUCUAAAAGGAAACAGAGCUCUUUGAAGAAAUGGUAAUUUCAAAGCUAGAGCACAGAAAGUAUAAGAUGAGCCCAGAAUAUCUUUUUGUACAAGAAAGUAAGGCAAUGCUCAAAGAAUGAUGGAGACAUGCCCAAAAAAAGCAGAGAAGCCAACUUGAAAAGAUUCCAACAGGCCAAAUAUGGGACAAUUUGAACAUCAGAAUAAAAUGGUGACAGUCACAGAAUUAUAACCCAUUGAAGAAAGGAAUUCAUGACAUCAUAUUAAUAUAAAUAAUAAUUGAAUAUUGAAAUUCGUUAAAGGAAAUGAGAUAUUUAUGUAGUCUUAAGGUAUCUUCUCACAAAUUAUGUAUUACUUACAAAGGGGAAAAGUGCACCUUGACAUGAGAAUCUUGGCAGAACCACUUUAAUCAAGAGGUUUAGUUGAGCAUUAUCAGUAACAGAGUAAAUCAAAAUCAUGAGCCACUUGAUAGAUACAAUGAGAAAAUAAAGCAUCACUUCUGUGACACCCUAUAAAAAAUGAAUCUAAUAAUGAGGAAACAUUAGAAAAAAACCAAACUGAGGGAUAUUCUACAAAUAAAUGGUCCUGUAAUCUUCAAAAAUUUCAAGGUUAUAAAAGUCAAGAAAAACAGACAAUCUUUUCCAAACUCAGGGGAACUAAAGAGGCAUGAAAUCUAAAUGCUUAAUUCUGGAUUUCAUCUUUUUGAUAUAAAGAACAGUAUUGAGACUAUUGAUAAAAUUUGAGUGGGGUCUGAAGAUUCAUUGGUAGUAGUAAGCUCAAUUUAAUUUCCUCACUUUGAUCAUUGUACUCUGGUUUUUUAGAAUGUUCUAGUCAACAGGUAAUAUGAAUUAAACUAAUCGAGGGUGACAGGGCAUUAUAUCAGCCACUUAUCAACAAACAUUUCAGAGAAAAAUAGUUCCUUGUAUUGUUAUUGCAAUUUUCUUUGAGAUUGCCCCCUCCAAAACAGUAAGAACUUUCAAAAACAAACAAAUAUAUCAAGCCACAGAUUCAAAGUGCUAUAAACUCCAUGCAUGAUUAGUUCUCACUCAUAGGUGGGAAUUGAACAAUGAGAACACAUGGACACAGGAAGGGGAACAUCACACACCAGGGC